rnacentral:rRNA from 1 species
GGCCAUUGCUAUCAGGGUUUGACUAAGCCAUGCGAGUCGAGAGGGUUCGGCCCUCGGCAUACUGCUCAGUAACACGUGGUUAACCUGCCCUAAGGUGGUGAAUACUCCCGGGAAACUGGGGCUAAUGCACCAUAGUGGAUACUUGCUGGAAUGCUGUAUCCUCGAAAGAUCCGUCGCCUUAGGAUGGGACUGCGUCCGAUUAGGUAGUUGGUGGGGUAACGGCCCACCAAGCCUGUCAUCGGUACGGGUUGUGGGAGCAAGAUCCCGGAGAUGGAUUCUGAGACAUGAAUCCAGGCCCUACGGGGCGCAGCAGGCGCGCAAACUUUACAAUGCGAGCAAUCGUGAUAAGGAAACCCUGAGUGCCUGUUGAUGCAGGCUGUUCAUCUGUUUAAAUUGCAGGUGAAGAAAGGGCAGGGCAAGACCGGUGCCAGCCGCCGCGGUAAUACCGGCUGCUCGAGUGAUGGCCACUAUUACUGGGUUUAAAGCGUCCGUAGCUUGACUGAUAGGUCUCUUGGGAAAUCUUAACGCUUAACGUUAAGGCGUCUAAGAGAUACCGUCAGUCUUGGAACUGGGAGAGGUAAACCGUACUUCGGGGGUAGGAGUGAAAUCUUGUAAUCCUCGAGGGACGACCUAUGGCGAAGGCAGUUUACCAGAACAGCUUCGACAGUGAGGGACGAAAGCUGGGGGAGCAAACGGGAUUAGAUACCCCGGUAGUCCCAGCCGUAAACAAUGUGCGUUAGGUGUAUCGGUAACCACGCGUUACUGAUGCGCCGCAGAGAAAUCGUGAAACGCACCACCUGGGAAGUACGGUCGCAAGGCUGAAACUUAAAGGAAUUGGCGGGGGAGCACCACAACAGGUGGAGCCUGCGGUUUAAUUGGAUUCAACGCCGGACAUCUCACCGGGUAAGACAGCUGAAUGAUUGUCAAUCUGAAGGUUUUACAUGACUAGCUGAGAGGAGGUGCAUGGCCGUCGUCAGUUCGUACUGUGAAGCAUCCUGUUAAGUCAGGCAACGAGCGAGACCCACGCCAACAAUUGCCAGCAUCAUCUCCGGAUGGAUGGGGACAUUGU